CACAGUCUCUUCAGCCUCCACCACAGCCCCGAAAGUCUACCCUCUGGAGUCCAGCUGCGGGGACACGUCCAGCUCCACCGUGACCCUGGGCUGCCUGGUCUCCAGCUACAUGCCCGAGCCAGUGACCGUGACCUGGAACUCAGGUGCCCUGACCAGCGGCGUGCGCACCUUCCCAGCCGUCCGGCAGUCCUCCGGGCUCUACUCUCUCAGCAGCAUGGUGACCGUGCCCGCCAGCACCUCAGGAUCCCAGACCUUCAUCUGCAACGUAGCCCACCCGGCCAGCAGCACCAAGGUGGACAAGCGUGUUGGAGUCCCCAGUUGCUGCUCCAAGUGUCCUAAACAGCCUUGCGUGGGGGGACCGUCUGUCUUCAUCUUCCCCCCGAAACCCAAGGACACCCUGAUGAUCACUGGAAAGCCCGAGGUCACGUGUGUGGUGGUGGACGUGGGCCAGAAUGACCCCGAGGUGCAGUUCUCGUGGUUCGUGAAUGACGUGGAGGUGCACACGGCCAGGACGAAGCCGAGAGAGGAGCAGUUCAACAGCACCUACCGUGUGGUCAGCGCCCUGCCCAUCCAACAUGAUGACUGGACUCAGGGAAAGGAGUUCAAGUGCAAGGUCAACAACAAAGGCCUCCCGGCCCCCAUUGUGAGGACCAUCUCCAAGACCAAAGGGCAGGCCCUGGAGCCACAGGUGUACCUCCUGGCCCCACCCGGGGAAGAGCUCAGCAAAAGCACGGUCAGCCUCACCUGCCUGAUCACCGGCUUCUACCCAGACUACAUCGCCGUGGAGUGGCGGAGAAACCGGCAGCCUGAGUCAGAGGGCAAGUAUGGCACGACCCCACCCCAGCUGGACGCCGACGGCUCCUACUUCCUGUACAGCAGGCUCAGGGUGAACAGGAGCAGCUGGCUAGAAGGAGACAGCUACACGUGUGCAGUGAUGCAUGAGGCUCUGCACAAUCGCUACACAGAGAAGUCCAUCUCUAAGCCUCCGGGUAAAUGAGCCACACGCCACCGACCUAGCGAACGUUCCCUCACCCACCCCCCCGGCCCCCAGGCUCCAGGUCCAGCCGGGACCCCCCAGCCCCUCCCUGUGUGCAUUCCUCCUGGGCCGCCGUGAAUAAAGCACCCAGCACCGCCCUGGGACCCUGCAA